rnacentral:snoRNA from 1 species
AAGAUCGACGAUGAUGACAUCGUCUCCCACAUCCUCGCUGCCCUGGACAAGGAAUUUGAUCCGGUGGUCUCUGCUAUGUGCUCCAGAGUGGAGCCGAUCACCGUGCCUGAGCUGUUCUCUCAACUCAUCAGCUUUGAGA